AGUCGAGCGAACAGAUGAGAAGCUUGCUUCUCUGAUGUUAGCGGCGGACGGGUGAGUAACACGUGGGUAACCUACCUAUAAGACUGGGAUAACUCCGGGAAACCGGGGCUAAUACCGGAUAAUAUUUUGAACCGCAUGGUUCAAUAGUGAAAGACGGUUUCGGCUGUCACUUAUAGAUGGACCCGCGCCGUAUUAGCUAGUUGGUAAGGUAAUGGCUUACCAAGGCGACGAUACGUAGCCGACCUGAGAGGGUGAUCGGCCACACUGGAACUGAGACACGGUCCAGACUCCUACGGGAGGCAGCAGUAGGGAAUCUUCCGCAAUGGGCGAAAGCCUGACGGAGCAACGCCGCGUGAGUGAUGAAGGUCUUCGGAUCGUAAAACUCUGUUGUUAGGGAAGAACAAAUUUGUUAGUAACUGAACAAGUCUUGACGGUACCUAACCAGAAAGCCACGGCUAACUACGUGCCAGCAGCCGCGGUAAUACGUAGGUGGCAAGCGUUAUCCGGAAUUAUUGGGCGUAAAGCGCGCGUAGGCGGUUUCUUAAGUCUGAUGUGAAAGCCCACGGCUCAACCGUGGAGGGUCAUUGGAAACUGGGAAACUUGAGUGCAGAAGAGGAGAGUGGAAUUCCAUGUGUAGCGGUGAAAUGCGCAGAGAUAUGGAGGAACACCAGUGGCGAAGGCGGCUCUCUGGUCUGUAACUGACGCUGAUGUGCGAAAGCGUGGGGAUCAAACAGGAUUAGAUACCCUGGUAGUCCACGCCGUAAACGAUGAGUGCUAAGUGUUAGGGGGUUUCCGCCCCUUAGUGCUGCAGCUAACGCAUUAAGCACUCCGCCUGGGGAGUACGACCGCAAGGUUGAAACUCAAAGGAAUUGACGGGGACCCGCACAAGCGGUGGAGCAUGUGGUUUAAUUCGAAGCAACGCGAAGAACCUUACCAAAUCUUGACAUCCUUUGACCGCUCUAGAGAUAGAGUCUUCCCCUUCGGGGGACAAAGUGACAGGUGGUGCAUGGUUGUCGUCAGCUCGUGUCGUGAGAUGUUGGGUUAAGUCCCGCAACGAGCGCAACCCUUAAGCUUAGUUGCCAUCAUUAAGUUGGGCACUCUAGGUUGACUGCCGGUGACAAACCGGAGGAAGGUGGGGAUGACGUCAAAUCAUCAUGCCCCUUAUGAUUUGGGCUACACACGUGCUACAAUGGAUAAUACAAAGGGCAGCGAAUCCGCGAGGCCAAGCAAAUCCCAUAAAAUUAUUCUCAGUUCGGAUUGUAGUCUGCAACUCGACUACAUGAAGCUGGAAUCGCUAGUAAUCGUAGAUCAGCAUGCUACGGUGAAUACGUUCCCGGGUCUUGUACACACCGCCCGUCUCACCCGAGAGUUUGUAACACCCGAAGCCGGUGGAGUAAC
rnacentral:rRNA from 2 species